AGAUAAGCAAGUGCUGGAGGAAUUUGGCGUUGAGCUACCGCCGAGUUUUACCGGUAUUAUGCACUAUGUUUACAAGACGUACCCCGAUAAUCAGCAGGUUUUGAAAGAACUUGAUUACGUCACGCGCGGUAAGCCCGCCAAAGAUGCCCUCCAAGUGGGGUCAACGUACCCUGACGUUGAGUUGGAAUGUGUAAAAUCGCAGGACAAGUACCCACUCUCAAGACUGCAUCUUCACAAGGAACGCCCCUUACUCAUUAUUACGUCAUCAGCUUCCUGACCCCCGUUUAAGGCCAUCGUGGUGGGCGGCGGAUUCUACAAUCUGUAUGCCGACUAUAAAGACACGGUGGAUUUUUUAUGUAUAUAUCUGAAGGAAGCUCAUCCUAACGAUAAGUGGAGUCUUGGUUCCUUUCUAAGUAAUAUUUCUCAGCACACUACGAUAGAAGACAGAAAAAAGGCAGCAAUGAACUUGAUGAAGAUGGAUGAAGAAUAUUACUCCAUAUUUACAUGUGACCCAUUCUCUGAGACAAAAAUUAGAUUGGUUUGCGAUAACAUGGACAACGCCUUCGGACUAACGUACAACGCCCACCCGGAUAGAGUCGUUCUUAUACAAGGCGAAAAGCUAACUUACCUCGGACGUAAUAUUGAUUCGCAAAUGACUGAUCCGAUGAAGUUCAUGACAGAUGAAGCCCGGCAAUUACUUAAAGAGAUUAUCGGAUAAAUCGAUAUUAUUAUAAAAAUUUCACAAGAUCCGCAUUUCGUAUAUUCUUUGUGUGAAAAACGAAAAUUUGUAACUAGACAUUUCAUUAUCACUAUCAAACAGCAAAUCAGGGAGCCAAUGUAAGGGUGAGGUUGUAAACUGAUUGAAAUAACCUCCAACGAUGUCUUUCAAUUUUAAAUUAGUAAAAUUACAUGAAACGUACCGGUAUACUGUACAGGCGUGAGUGCGAUUCAGAAUUCUACAACAAUCUCCUUAAUUCCGCACACACACCGGGCCGUACCGUCCCCACGAGUAUGCCUGUGACUGCGUGGAUCUACGUGAUCGAAAGUGUACUAAUACUAAUUUGGUUAACUUCCAAUGUGGUAGUACCAGGGAACAGUUAACUAUUCCCUGGUAGUACACAGUUUAUUACUGUAUUCUAACUCGGUUUCCAUAUAAUCGCUCACCAUCUAUCGGCGACAGAUGUCGGGAAGUUAGAACCUGGUUCAAGUUUGCCGAUUGAGUUGCAGACGAAUCGGGGUGCCUUCUUAUAAGGAAGGCCCUCGUCAAUAUAUUGUAUGUAUCACCCACUCUAACAAUCAACCACUGAUGUAACAUUAACCACUGUUGUAACAACUAUCAACCACUGUUGUAACAUUGAUCAACCACUGUUGUAACAUUAACCACUAUUGUAACAACGAUGUAACCACUGUUGUAACAAUGAUUUAACCACUAAUAUAACAACGUACAAUAUAGAAGUCUCCAAGCCGAAAACUUAUGUACAUUCCAAAAUUUCACAUUAAUGAUGGUUGUGCAUUUUUAAAAUGUUAUGAUUGUUAAUGUUGAGGUUAAAGGUUAGGUCAUAUAUAUAUAUAUUUAUAUAUAUAUAUAUAUAUAUAUAUAUAUGAUAGUUAAGAUGUAAAGUAUGGUGCCACGUAUGUUCCACAUAGAGUAUCGAUAAAGGAAUUUGUAACACAGAAUAAAUCGAUAUAUAUAUAUAUUAUAUAUAUAUGUAUAUAUAUUGGGCUCUAUUGAGCUGUUUACCAUUUUAAAAUCUGAUCUUUAACUUCUAUAUAAAAAAUGUAUAUAAUUAUUUAAAAAAAUGCCACAACCGUCAAUAAUGUGAAAUUUGGUUUUAAUAGGACAAUGAACGUAAGUUUUUAGCUUAAAGACUUCUAUAUUGUACGUUGUUACGUUAGAAGUUAAAUCGUUGUUACAAUAGGGGUUAAUAAAAUUGUUACAACAGUGGUAAAUAUUUGUUACAACAGUGGUUAAUGUUACAGCGUGGUUGAUUUUUGUUACAACAGCGUGGUUAUUGUUACAAGUGGUUGAUUGUUACAUUAGUGGUUGGUACAGGAGUGUAUUCUAAUUUCUUUUUCUAUUCCGGUUUAAGGAAGUGAAUAAAUGUUGAUUUGAUUUGAGUGAUUGAUUGAUUUAACCUAAUGAUAGUUAGCCUACUUAGUUAUAGGCCAAGCUAAUAAUAGUAUAAUUCUAAAUCAUGUAGGUCCUAUAUACUUUUA
rnacentral:lncRNA from 1 species